rnacentral:rRNA from 1 species
UGGGGAAUAUUGGACAAUGGGGGCAACCCUGAUCCAGCCAUGCCGCGUGUGUGAAGAAGGUCUUCGGAUUGUAAAGCACUUUAAGCUGGGAGGAAGGGCAGUAAGUUAAUACCUUGCUGUUUUGACGUUACCAGCAGAAUAAGCACCGGCUAACUUCGUGCCAGCAGCCGCGGUAAUACGAAGGGUGCAAGCGUUAAUCGGAAUUACUGGGCGUAAAGCGCGCGUAGGUGGUUCAGCAAGUUGGAUGUGAAAGCCCCGGGCUCAACCUGGGAACUGCAUCCAAAACUACUGGGCUAGAGUAUGGUAGAGGGUGGUGGAAUUUCCUGUGUAGCGGUGAAAUGCGUAGAUAUAGGAAGGAACACCAGUGGCGAAGGCGACCACCUGGACUAAUACUGACACUGAGGUGCGAAAGCGUGGGGAGCAA